AAGUCGUAACAAGGUUUCCGUAGGUGAACCUGCGGAAGGAUCAUUAUCAUCCGUGGAUUGGAGUGUCUGGUGGCAACGCCAGCACUCUCAUCUAUCUCACCAACCGCGAACUGUAUCACCUCCAUUCUGCGAGAGCUCCCGCAGCGCCUCGUCCGUUGGCCCCCCGAGAGGAGAAAACGGCCGUUGCGGGAAUCGACAACUCGUCAUUCGUGACUUUUGUCGGUAUUGCAGUCUGGUUGUAUCUUUUUGACCUCUCACUUUAUUUACCCUUUGAACAACAACCUUUUCAAUCUUGGUAUUGAACUGAAAUUCGUGUUUUUCUUCUGUCUGUUUCCUUUUUUUGGAAUCAGUGGAAAAAAACAUCAAAGAGUUUACGAAACAAUCGAACAACUCUUAGCAACGGAUAUCUUGGCUCUC
rnacentral:misc_RNA from 1 species